rnacentral:lncRNA from 1 species
GGGUGUACAAUAUCUUCAAUUUUAUAUGCAUGAAUUUCAAAUGGUGUAUAUCCAUAUCAUCAAUGGCGCGUGUAGUUUAUUUGCAUGGUAAGAUUUGGUAUAUAUCCUAACAAAUAUAUAUCGUCUAGGUGAUAUGCAUAAAAGAUUUGAAUGGAUUUAUUCUCCUAAUAAACCCUAGAUACUAAUGGAAUUAAAGAUAA